AAUAGAUACCCCGGUAGUCCACGCCGUAAACGAUGAGUGCUAAGUGUUAGAGGGUUUCCGCCCUUUAGUGCUGCAGCUAACGCAUUAAGCACUCCGCCUGGGGAGUACGGCCGCAAGGCUGAAACUCAAAGGAAUUGACGGGGGCCCGCACAAGCGGUGGAGCAUGUGGUUUAAUUCGAAGCAACGCGAAGAACCUUACCAGGUCUUGACAUCCUCUGCCAACCCUAGAGAUAGGGCGUUCCCCUUCGGGGGACAGAGUGACAGGUGGUGCAUGGUUGUCGUCAGCUCGUGUCGUGAGAUGUUGGGUUAAGUCCCGCAACGAGCGCAACCCUUGAUCUUAGUUGCCAGCAUUCAGUUGGGCACUCUAAGGUGACUGCCGGUGACAAACCGGAGGAAGGUGGGGAUGACGUCAAAUCAUCAUGCCCCUAUGACCUGGGCUACACACGUGCUACAAUGGAUGGUACAAAGAGCAGCGAACCCGCGAGGGUAAGCCAAUCUCAUAAAGCCAUUCUCAGUUCGGA
rnacentral:rRNA from 1 species